UACGAAGGGUGCAAGCGUUACUCGGAAUUACUGGGCGUAAAGCGCGCGUAGGCGGUUUGUUAAGUCAGCUGUGAAAGCCCUGGGCUCAACCUGGGAAUUGCAGUGGAUACUGGCAAGCUAGAGUGCGGUAGAGGAUGGUGGAAUUCCCGGUGUAGCGGUGAAAUGCGUAGAGAUCGGGAGGAACACCUGUGGCGAAGGCGGCCAUCUGGACCAGCACUGACGCUGAGGCACGAAAGCGUGGGGAGCAAACAGG
rnacentral:rRNA from 1 species